rnacentral:rRNA from 1 species
UACGAAGGGGGCUAGCGUUGCUCGGAAUCACUGGGCGUAAAGCGCACGUAGGCGGAUCUUUAAGUCAGGGGUGAAAUCCUGGAGCUCAACUCCAGAACUGCCUUCGAUACUGGAAGUCUCGAGUCCGGGAGAGGUGAGUGGAACUGCGAGUGUAGAGGUGAAAUUCGUAGAUAUUCGCAAGAACACCAGUGGCGAAGGCGGCUCACUGGCCCGGUACUGACGCUGAGGUGCGAAAGCGUGGGGAGCAAACAGG